UACGUAGGGUGCAAGCGUUGUCCGGAAUUAUUGGGCGUAAAGAACUUGUAGGCGGUUUGUCGCGUCUGCUGUGAAAUUUCGGGGCUCAACCCCGAACUUGCAGUGGGUACGGGCAGACUAGAGUGUGGUAGGGGAGACUGGAAUUCCUGGUGUAGCGGUGAAAUGCGCAGAUAUCAGGAGGAACACCAAUAGCGAAGGCAGCUCGCUGGGACGGUACUGACGCUAAGGCGCGAAAGCGUGGGGAGCGAACAGG
rnacentral:rRNA from 1 species